GUUUUAUUAUCCGUAUCCCAAUCUCAAGCCUUCUGGAAUGGAUAUUAUUGGAUUAGCUUGUGCAAUCUUUCAAUGUGUUUUUACAUCAGUUGCUUAUAGCUUUUUGUCUCGAGGUGCUGAUAAUCCUAUCAACUUAAAUUUUUGGCCUAUAGCUUUUGCCUUUGGUCUAUUAUGUACUAGAUUCUCAGGAAAUCCUCCACAAAGAAAGCUAACCUCACUUGUAAGGAGACAGCAAAAAUUUACUCUAGCUGAGCUCGCUGCUGCCACCAAUAAUUUCUCACCAACGAGCAAGAUUGGUGCAGGGAGCUUUG
rnacentral:misc_RNA from 1 species